UUCUUGGAUUGGGUCCUUCAGAGGUUGUGGGGGAGAAGGGGAAAGGGGAGGCUUCGAUCCCGGGGAGGGAGCCUGAGAAACGGCUGCCACAUCCAAGGAAGGCAGCAGGCGCGCAAAUUACCCAAGCCCGACACGGGCAGGGAAUGGAGAA
rnacentral:ncRNA from 1 species